GGGAGGCAGCAGUGAGGAAUAUUGGACAAUGGGCGAAAGCCUGAUCCAGCAAUGCCGCGUGUGUGAAGAAGGCCUGAGGGUUGUAAAGCACUUUCAAUGAGAAGGAAAAAAGUCGGGUUAAUAGCCCGAUUCUUGACAUUACCUAUAGAAGAAGCACCGGCUAACUCCGUGCCAGCAGCCGCGGUAAUACGGAGGGUGCAAGCGUUAAUCGGAAUUACUGGGCGUAAAGCGUGCGUAGGCGGUUAUUUAAGUCAGAUGUGAAAGUCCUGGGCUCAACCUGGGAACUGCAUUUGAUACUGGGUAACUAGAGUUUAGUAGAGGAGAGCGGAAUUUCCGGUGUAGCGGUGAAAUGCGUAGAUAUCGGAAGGAAUACCAGUGGCGAAGGCGGCUCUCUGGACUAAAACUGACGCUGAGGUACGAAAGCGUGGGUAGCAAACAGGAUUAGAUACCCCGGU
rnacentral:rRNA from 1 species